GAUGAACGCUGGCGGCGUGCCUAAUACAUGCAAGUCGAGCGAACAGACGAGGAGCUUGCUCUUCUGAUGUUAGCGGCGGACGGGUGAGUAACACGUGGAUAACCUACCUAUAAGACUGGGAUAACUUCGGGAAACCGGAGCUAAUACCGGAUAAUAUUUUGAACCGCAUGGUUCAAUAGUGAAAGACGGUUUUGCUGUCACUUAUAGAUGGAUCCGCGCUGCAUUAGCUAGUUGGUAAGGUAACGGCUUACCAAGGCAACGAUGCGUAGCCGACCUGAGAGGGUGAUCGGCCACACUGGAACUGAGACACGGUCCAGACUCCUACGGGAGGCAGCAGUAGGGAAUCUUCCGCAAUGGGCGAAAGCCUGACGGAGCAACGCCGCGUGAGUGAUGAAGGUCUUCGGAUCGUAAAACUCUGUUAUUAGGGAAGAACAAAUGUGUAAGUAACUGUGCACGUCUUGACGGUACCUAAUCAGAAAGCCACGGCUAACUACGUG
rnacentral:rRNA from 1 species